CUUCCAUAAGCACUUGGGUUUGAUAAAAGUCCCUCUGAUUGUCGGACCUGGGCCCUGGGAAGAAUAGUGGAUUCUAUUUUCCUCAUAUAAAAUUUGGAGAAAUUUUCCAUGCCCACAUCCAUGCAGACUGCCUUAUUGCUGGGUUUGAGGAGGCUGAGUCUCCAUUAGCUGAGCAGUGCACAGUUUCUUAAGAAAUGCCCCAACUGUUGUGGGUGGAAGAAUAGGCUCACCUGCUCAGCCUCCCUGAGAAGCAGGCAAAUACUGAAUCACCUAAACUGCAAACUGACUUUCCUAUAUGGUGUCUGCUGAUUUUCUUGCCUUGAUGGACCAAGAGGUUCUUCAAUGGUCAGUUCUAAAGUAGAAGGGAAGUGUAGAUACUUUCAAGAGAAGCUCUGCUUUUG